rnacentral:rRNA from 1 species
GAUGAACGCUAGCUACAGGCUUAACACAUGCAAGUCGAGGGGAAACGACAUCGAAAGCUUGCUUUUGAUGGGCGUCGACCGGCGCACGGGUGAGUAACGCGUAUCCAACCUGCCCAUCACUUGGGAAUAACCUUGCGAAAGUAAGACUAAUACCCAAUGACAUCCCACGAAGACAUCUGAAUGGGAUUAAAGAUUUAUCGGUGAUGGAUGGGGAUGCGUCUGAUUAGCUUGUUGGCGGGGUAACGGCCCACCAAGGCAACGAUCAGUAGGGGUUCUGAGAGGAAGGUCCCCCAGAAUGGAACUACGGCACAGACCAAACUGGUACGGGGGGCAGGGGUGUGUAAGAUUAGUCGGUGGGCGCGGGCCUGACCCAGCCAAGUGGCGUGCAGGAUGACGGCGCUAGGAGAUGUAAGCUGCUUUUAUAGGAGGAUAAUGAGAGUCUCAUGAGACUUUUUGCAUGUACCUUAUGAAUAAAGACCGGCUAAUUCCGUG